rnacentral:lncRNA from 9 species
CUCAUUAAAUUCCACCGCAUUUCCCAGGCCCAAAGGUGCAUAUGCUUGUCUUCUUGAUGCAGGUUUAAAAAAAAAAAAAAUGGAGACUCUAAAAACAGGUUUAGCCGAGACACCUGCCAUGGUAAAUUUCCUUCAUGAAACUGAGCCAAGAGUUUCAGCAGAAAGCAAGCUGCUCAUGAAAAUAAGUUCAGAGAAAAAUAAUUGUUUUGGAAAAAAGAAGAUUGGUAAAAGAGAUAAGUACAAAAUACUUUCAGUAACGUUGACGCCUAUGGAGCAAAGAUAUGUAUGUACUAAAGUCAGACUUUCAAUAUGAAAGUUUAGAUUUUUCAGGGCUCAGUUUAGAUUUCAACACUGCUUCUUUUUACUAGAGAUGCAAUCCAGGUUAAAGGGGACUCUGGGAGAUCCAAGGAAAAACAUACCUGAGGCUAAUGAGCUUCUGCACAGUGAAGUAAACCAUCAUCAGAACAAAAAGGCAGCCUACUGAAAGAGAGAAGAUAUGUUUGCAAAUAUUGUAUUUGAUAAAAGGUUAAUAUCCAGAAAUAUAUAAAGAACUCAUACAACUCAACAAUGAGAAAAAAUAACCAACCGGAUUAAAAUAUGGGCAGGAGUUCCCAUCGUGGCUCAGUGGUUAAUGAAUCCAACUAGGCACCAUGAGGUUGUGGGUUUGAUCCCUGGCCUUGCUCAGUGGGUUAAGGAUCCGGCAUUGCUGUGAGCUGUGGUGUAGGUCGAAGACACAGCUCGGAUCCUGAGUUGCUGUGGCUCUGGCGUAGGCCAGAAGCUACAGCUCCAAUUAGACCCCUAGCCUCGGAACCUCCAUAUGCCGCAGCAGCGGCUCAAGAAAAAGGCAAAAGGAUGGGCAGAGAAUCUGAAUAAACAUUUUCCCAAAGAAGACCUGCAGAUGGCCAACACACAUGAAAAGGUGUUCAACAUCACUAAUUAUUAGGGAUAGGCAAAUCAAAACUACAUGAUAUAUCAACUCGCACUUGUUAGAAUGACUCUUUUAAAAAGACAAGAAAUAGCAAGUAUUGGGUAAGAUGUAGAGAAAAGGAACCCCUUAAUACACUAUUGGUGGGACUGUAAAUUAGUACAGUCAUUGUGGAAAACAGUAUGAAGAUACCUCAAAAAAUUAAAAAUAGAAAUACCAUAUGACCCAGCUCUUCUACUUCUGGGCAUUUAAAUGAAGAACACAAAAAUACUAAUAUGAAAAGAUAUGUGCCUGCCUAUGUUCCUUGCAACAUUAUUAACACUGGCAAAGAUUUGAAAACUAUCUGAGCAUUCAUUACUGGAUGAAUGGAUAAAGAAGGUGUGGUAUAUAUGCAGUGGAAUAUUACUCAACCAUAAAAAAUGAUGAAAUCCUGCUAUUUGCAGCAACGAUAUGAAUAGAUCUAAAAAGUAUUAGAUUAAGUGAAAUAAAACAGAUAAAGAAAAACAAAUAUCAUACGAUUUCACUUGUAGGUGGAAUCUUAAAAAAGAAAGAAAGACACAAGCAAUAUUAAACAAAAACGAAGUCAUAGAUACGGAGGACAGAGAAAUGGGGAAGGAGGUUAAGGGAUGAAUGAAAUGGGUGAAGGGGAUCAACUCUACUGUGUGGUUUAUCUCUAGACUUGUAAAGAUCAUUUUGCAGUGUCUACAGAUGUUAAAUUAUAAUGCUGUACACCUGAAACAUACAUACAAAAGAAAGAUGUAUUGCAUAGCCAAAUAAACAAAUAAAUGCCUCAGUCCAAAUCAGUCCA